GCUUUAGGUCCUCUCCGAGGUACCUGGUAGUGAGGAUUAAUGCCUUACCAAAGGGCACUAGCACAUCGUCUUGGUUUCAAACCCGGGUCACCGGAUUACGAGAUGAAUUGAUUAAUUUGGAGGCGUCUCGUUUAGAUAUCAAUCUAUAUGUGAAUUAUGUAUGGUUGAUUUCAUGUGGAAAGUCAGGACUUGGUGUGCAAUGGGGCACUUUUUUGUUGUUAUUUUCAAAUUGUUUGAGACCAUAGCGAGAUGAUAAACUUUUGUUUUCUGUUUUUGUUUGUUUCAUAUUUGGGUAUUGGACGAUGGAGAAUUUUUAUAUCUAUGUUGCACUGUUGUAAAUCUUCACAUUAUAUUUAUAUCCUGAAUCAUUGCAGUGAAGCCAUGAUCAUAUGACAUUUGAAAGCAUGAUUCAAUAUAUAAGCAAAGACCAAAUGUUUUGACAUAUUUUUUCACUGGAUGAGUUGAACAUUGAUGUUCAGAAGUAACAGUGUAACCAUUUUCGAUGGGAAGACAUGCAUGUUAUUUUGCCAAUGUUAAAUGUUGAUUAAUUCUUCAGUUUUUUGACAGAAGCAUGUUAAAUGCAAAAUUUCAAUUGCCAUUUCUUCCUACCGACCUACCAUAAAUUGUACACCUGUAGCUUCAUACCUUUUAAUAAUGCAGAACUAGACCUGGUUCCUUGAACAACUGUCUCUGCUCAUAUUUGUUGUAAAGGUGGGUUCUUAUUUAUCCAUCAUUUAGUUUUAGAACUGUAAAGGUUGAUGUAGGACUCCACCCAAAUUUUCACAACGGUUCCAGAUUGGACUUUUCUGGAUUACUAUUUUGGGUUUUCAAGUUUCACAGAUUCCUGUUAGUGGGUAACCUUACUGGAAUUUCAUGUUUUUAAUUCUAAAAAACAAACUAUUUUAUCCCCUUGAAUUAGACUGUUUGUUUGUAAUGUUUGCUCAUGAUUAAAUGCCUUUUUUUGAUGCCUCCAUCAACAAAGUUGGUUCCAGAGGCAUUAUGUUUUUGUGUUGUCCAUCCGUCCGUCCCGUUUUUCAUUACCGCAAUAACUAUUGAACAGAGUUUAAUCGGCCGUGAUCAAGGAUGAACUGAUUAGAUUAUGAAUAGAAGAGUUCAAUGGUCAUAGGGUCAUAAAAUAUAUUGUUACCAUGAUAACGUGAAAAGCAUGAAAGCAAUCCAAACCAAACUUGGAUGGAGUGUGAAUGAGCAUGUAAGGAUGCACAGAUUAGAUUUUGGAUGUAAUAUCGUGAAGGUCAUAGGGUAAUAAAAGUUUUUAAAAAUACCAGAAAAUAUGUUUUUGCGAUAACUCGAAAAUCAUUGUAAUGGUAUGCAGGGAUGAACCGAUUGGAUUUCGGGUGUUAGAGGGCAAAGGUCGGAAGGUCAUAAAAUUGUUUAAAAGAUACUGGAAAAUAUCUUGUUACUGCGAUAACUCGAAAAGAAUUAAAGCAAUUAAACCAAAGUUGGGCAAAGUAUCUAUGAGCAUGCAGGGAUGAACUGAUUAGAUUUUGGGAGUACAUGUACAUGAAAGAGAGUAUUAUAAUUCUCAGAAAAUCCCUUAUUACUGUAUUAACUAAUUUAACUUACUUUAGAAAAUUAAACUAAUGUUGACCGAACUGGGCUCAAGUAUGACAAAAUCAAAUGAAAAGAGUGUUGGUCAUGAGGUCAGAUAUUAAAGGUGGAGGCAUAUUAAAAACACAUCUUGUUUUAGGGGUGUGUUUUAUUUAAGAUCAAAGGUUUUUUUUUGUCUUCUUUUUAUUUACAUAUUUAUAUAUAUAUAUAUAUAUACGAACACUAUUGCCCAUAAAGCAAUCUAGGAUUAAUGUGUCUCCUCCACUAAUGACUCAUUAGCAACUUCUAGUUUCUAAGGCACAAAUUAAGCAGUUGCUGACUCAUCUCGUAUGUCAGUCAGUCGUGGUCGUCACGGAGUUUUUCAUGGCCUCAAAUUACCGACCUCUCUAUAACUUUUGAGGAUUUUACAGACUGCACUCUCUGAUAUUUCAAGGAAAUCAGCAAUAUUGGCUUGUUCGUGUCCAUCUUGGCGGAGUGCAAGUAAUCAUUGGUGUAUUGAUGAGGCAUAGCCUAGGGAACUUCUGUGUCUAACUUGUUUGCAAAUUAUACUACAAAUUUUGAAAUCAUGGUGAUCUUCUUUACAGCCUCUACAAAGGAAAAAGACAACAUAGCAAUGUCUUGCCUGUUAUAGCGCCAAACUUAAGGCUAGGUUGUGUAAUGGAAUGUUUUGCAUGAAUGAAAUUCACCCUGACAAUUUGGACUCUUUAUGUACUCAUUACACCAGGUCACAAGUGGUUAUUGUGCAUUUUAAUAGGAAUAAAUAUGUUUGAAAACAAGAUUAUUCUACCUUUAUGGGCAACAGUGUACCGGUAUAUAUUAUUACACUAAGUACAUACAUGUUUCUCAGUCUGCUUCACAGAAGCUCUGAAAUAAGCCAGAACCACAAUGAAAUAUAUAUGUGUGUAUGUCAUAUGUGAGAAAUUUUCGUUCUAAAACUUCAUAGCAUCAGCAACACUUGUGGGUUAAAUCUACAUGAUAAGAGAAAUCAAUCAGAUGAGAGAUAAUUUGCAUGGCUUCAAAUCCAUUGUUCCUCAUUAACUGCUUUCCUUUUUGUGGAAAUAAUUGCAAAGGUUGCAAAAACCGUCUUGACUUCCAUUGUCUAGUGGGUAAGGUAUAUCACAUACCAUACCGCCAGGGCCAAAGACCAGUUUCUAUUCCUGGCGGAAACAGUUUUUGCAGCCUUUGCAGUACAGUGUAUUUCCAUCCAAGGGAAGUCACUAAAUAAAGGAGGAACAACACAUUUGAAGCCACGCAUAUGAUUUCUGUCAUCGAAUUGAUGUCAAACACAACACACAGGCAUUUUCUUUUUCCAUUUCGAGUACUUUAUAUGUUUAAUAACAUUUUUGCAUACAAAGUAAUGCAAACUUUUGUUAAAUGUUUAUGAGACAAACAGACUUAUAUGUAUUCAAGAUUGCUUUAAAAUAAAUUUUGUUGGAUUGUGUAUAAAGUUUGUCAUUACUAGAACUCAGUUUACCUCCAGUAUGUAGACAGGUGUAUGAAUAUUGUGGAAAACUUGUAUUUACAGAUAAUAUGUAAAUAGUUGUGCUUAAAAUGAAUUGGUUCUAAUUAUUCCAGAUGUUUCAGUUGUACUACUGAGAUCUAGAAACUGCUAUCUUUUAUUGUAGCACUCUGAGAAAAAGAUAGAAGGGCUGCAUUAAUUGCUGAAAAUCAAAAUACCAUUUCGAUAUCAAGUCGAUUAAAAAAAAAUAAUCAAAAUCAUUUUGUCUGUUUGUUAUUUUGUCUAUUUUGUUUUUUGUUGAGUAUAUUUGCAAUGUGCCUGUAACUAUUCUUCAUGUAAAAUAGAUUUUGUCCAUUCUGUUUAUUUCACUAUAUGCUUGGCAAUUUUUAUUAAUUGCAGUUGAAUAAAUAUGAAUAUAAUAAUCUUGCA